CCCACGGCUGGGAAGUUGGCUGAGGAGACACGGCGGGUUCAAGCCCUGGUCCAGGAGAUCCCACAUGCCACGGAGCAACUAAGCCUGUGCGCCACAACUACUGAGCCUGCACUCUAGAGCCUGCGAGCCACAACUACUGAGCCCAUGUGCCUAGAGCCUGUGCUCCACAACAAGAGAAGCCACCGCAAUGAGAAGCCUGCGCACCGCAACGAAGAGUAGCCCCCACUCGCCGCAACUACAGAAAGCCCGUGUGCAGCAACGAAGACCCAAGGCAGCCAAAAAUAAAUAAAAGAAAAAUCCACCAUGGGUACUUCUGGGGAUACUCCGUAUUGAUGGAAGAAAGUGUUCAGAGUACCAAGUGAA